AUGUUCAGAAACCGUUCUCCUUAUCUUCUUCUUCUUUCCGAGAGGAUCAGAAAAAUAGAGGAAGCUCGGACCCAAUUGGGGCAGGAAGCGAAAUCUGACUGGAAAUUUGAGAACCCAUCACUAGAUUGUCUCUGUCCGUUGAUACCCGCGGCCAGUUUGGUCGUUGGAAGGUUGUGAACGAGUUGAGGAAUUAAGCAAAGGUCGGGAAAUAAUGGAAAAUAUCACAGCGAGUGAAUUAGCAGGGUUUGGUGUUGGUACUCUCUUACUUUGUGCCACUAUUGCGGCCCCCAAAGUGGAUGCCUUCAUUUCAGCUUCUCAAAGGAGUUCCCUUGGUAUGUGCAAAAGAUGCGGUGAUUUGAGGAUGAUACCUUGCACAAGAUGUAAGGGAGUUGGAUCUGUCAAAGGUGGACUGUUCAAUUUUGGCUUUGUAGAUGACAUAUUUCAGCAAUUCGGGGGUAGUGGGAUGAAGGGGAAGUCCAUCUCUUGCACCCAAUGCCAAGCCAGAGGACACAUGCCCUGUCCCAUCUGUUCUAAUCUGCCAUAAGUGUGCUCACCAGACAUUCUUUUCCCCUUUUAUACUUCAAAGUAUCAUUGUAAUAUACAAGUAUACAACCUAUUGGAAAAUUCACUUCUAUAUUGUUGUUGUAGUAAUUGAUAAAUCAUAUCUGAAUUAUUAAAUCAUA